CCUACGGGUGGCAGCAGUGAGGAAUAUUGGUCAAUGGGCGCGAGCCUGAACCAGCCAAGUCGCGUGAGGGAGGACGGCCCUACGGGUUGUAAACCUCUUUUGCCGGGGAGCAACGGGCGCCACGUGUGGCGUCACUGAGAGUACCCGGAGAAAAAGCAUCGGCUAACUCCGUGCCAGCAGCCGAGGUAAUACGGGGGAUGCGAGCGUUAUCCGGAUUUUAUGGGUUAAAGGGGUGCGUAGGCGGAUAGUUAAGUCAGUGGGCAAAUUGUGGGGCUCAACCCCUUCCCGCCUUUGAAACUGGCGUUCUUGAGUGGAAGAGAAGUAGGCGGAAUGCGUGGUGUAGCGGUGAAAUGCAUAGAUAUCACGCAGAACCCCGGUGGCGAAGGCAGCAUGCCGGCUUCCGACUGACGCUGAAGCACGAAAGCGUGGGGAUCGAACAGGAUUAGAUACCCCAGUAGUC
rnacentral:rRNA from 1 species